UACGUAGGGCGCAAGCGUUGUCCGGAAUUAUUGGGCGUAAAGAGCUCGUAGGCGGCCUGUUGCGUCCGCUGUGAAAUCCCGGGGCUCAACCCCGGGCCUGCAGUGGAUACGGGCUGGCUAGAGGCAGGCAGGGGAGAACGGAAUUCCUGGUGUAGGCGGUGAAAUGCGCAGAUAUCAGGAGGAACACCAUAGCGAAGGCAGCUCGCUGGGACGUUACUGACACUGAGGCGCGAAAGCGUGGGGAGCGAACAGGA
rnacentral:rRNA from 1 species